GAGGUGUGUAAGCAACAGUCUUGU
rnacentral:siRNA from 1 species